GAAAAGAGCUCAGUUGUCAAGGAACUAUUUUUCUUGCCGUCGUCCCAGAGAUGCCUUUGGAAAAGCGGAAGGGCACGGAGGGUUCUGGAGUUCGUUGCUGGCACCUGCGUGGUGUCAUGAGAACGUGGCGGGGCGAUUCACACUACAAGGAAUACUAAAGGACGUUCUCCACAUUGAAGGAAAAUGAUCUAAAGAGAAACAGAUCUGUAAGAAGAAAUGAAGAGCACUGGUAAAGUUCAUGGGUGCUUCAGAAUGUGUGGUCAAAAGCAGCCCUCAGAUCAGAGACCUCGACCCCUCUCCUGCCUCAGGACAGCAAACUCAACCAGCCUCCAAGACGGGGCCUUUCUUCAGUAGCAGGUCCAGCAUAGCAAGUGGGUGGUGAGAUGCCGGCAGUGGAAUUCUAGAAGCAGUGCCUCCCAGAACAGCACUACAGUACUGAGGAAGGACUAUGCACCUGGGAAGCUGUCACACACACAAAAUCAUUUCAUGAAAACUUUCUUUGGGUAAAGGAAGGGUUCCACUGCGUAGUAUUUGAUUUGAGAAGGGCUGCAUGGUGCAUGAGGUUAAGAAAGAAAUG
rnacentral:lncRNA from 10 species